AUAAGAAAAAAUUCUAUAGGUCAUUUAGUCAUUAAAUGAUAAUAGGGAAGUUGGUGUAAUUCCAACACGGUCCCGCCACUGUAAAUGCGAAAUUACUUCAAUUACCACUGUCUAUAAUGAGAUGGGAAGGUGAAGUGAUUGUUAAGCAUGAGUCAGGAGACCUGCCUAUAGAGAAUGUGAAAC
rnacentral:ncRNA from 2 species